rnacentral:rRNA from 1 species
GACGAACGCUGGCGGCGUGCCUAAUACAUGCAAGUAGAACGCAGUGGCGAACGGGUGAGUAAUACGUGAGUACCCUGCCCUCCUUUUUGGGAUAAGCCUGGGAAACGGGGUCUAAUACCGGAUAAAGGGGGAUGGGCUGUGGGCCUAUCAGCUUGUUGGUGGGGGGCUGGCCUACCAAGGCCGUGACGGGUAGCGUGCCUGAGAGGGUGACCGGGAACGUUGGGACGGAGAUACGGCCCAGACGCGGACGGUGGGGGGAAGUGGGAGCUAUUGGAGAAUGGGCGAAACACUGAUGCAGCGACGACGCGUGGGGGAUGAGGGUUUUAGGGUUGUAAACCUCUUUCGGUAGCGAUCGGGUAGGUGGAGAAGAAGCGCCGGCUAACUACGUGCCAGCAGCCGCGGUAAUAC